CAUCCUCCAAGGCUAAAUACUCCUGACUGACCGAUAGUGAACCAGUACCGUGAGGGAAAGGCGAAAAGAACCCCGGCGAGGGGAGUGAAAAAGAACCUGAAACCGUGUACGUACAAGCAGUGGGAGCACGCUUAGGCGUGUGACUGCGUACCUUUUGUAUAAUGGGUCAGCGACUUAUAUUCUGUAGCAAGGUUAACCGAAUAGGGGAGCCGAAGGGAAACCGAGUCUUAACUGGGCGUUAAGUUGCAGGGUAUAGACCCGAAACCCGGUGAUCUAGCCAUGGGCAGGUUGAAGGUUGGGUAACACUAACUGGAGGACCGAACCGACUAAUGUUGAAAAAUUAGCGGAUGACUUGUGGCUGGGGGUGAAAGGCCAAUCAAACCGGGAGAUAGCUGGUUCUCCCCGAAAGCUAUUUAGGUAGCGCCUCGUGAAUUCAUCUCCGGGGGUAGAGCACUGUUUCGGCAAGGGGGUCAUCCCGACUUACCAACCCGAUGCAAACUGCGAAUACCGGAGAAUGUUAUCACGGGAGACACACGGCGGGUGCUAACGUCCGUCGUGAAGAGGGAAACAACCCAGACCGCCAGCUAAGGUCCCAAAGUCAUGGUUAAGUGGGAAACGAUGUGGGAAGGCCCAGACAGCCAGGAUGUUGGCUUAGAAGCAGCCAUCAUUUAAAGAAAGCGUAAUAGCUCACUGGUCGAGUCGGCCUGCGCGGAAGAUGUAACGGGGCUAAACCAUGCACCGAAGCUGCGGCAGCGACGCUGAUGCGUUGUUGGGUAGGGGAGCGUUCUGUAAGCCUGUGAAGGUGUGCUGUGAGGCAUGCUGGAGGUAUCAGAAGUGCGAAUGCUGACAUAAGUAACGAUAAAGCGGGUGAAAAGCCCGCUCGCCGGAAGACCAAGGGUUCCUGUCCAACGUUAAUCGGGGCAGGGUGAGUCGACCCCUAAGGCGAGGCCGAAAGGCGUAGUCGAUGGGAAACAGGUUAAUAUUCCUGUACUUGGUGUUACUGCGAAGGGGGGACGGAGAAGGCUAUGUUGGCCGGGCGACGGUUGUCCCGGUUUAAGCGUGUAGGCUGGUUUUCCAGGCAAAUCCGGAAAAUCAAGGCUGAGGCGUGAUGACGAGGCACUACGGUGCUGAAGCAACAAAUGCCCUGCUUCCAGGAAAAGCCUCUAAGCAUCAGGUAACAUCAAAUCGUACCCCAAACCGACACAGGUGGUCAGGUAGAGAAUACCAAGGCGCUUGAGAGAACUCGGGUGAAGGAACUAGGCAAAAUGGUGCCGUAACUUCGGGAGAAGGCACGCUGAUAUGUAGGUGAAGUCCCUCGCGGAUGGAGCUGAAAUCAGUCGAAGAUACCAGCUGGCUGCAACUGUUUAUUAAAAACACAGCACUGUGCAAACACGAAAGUGGACGUAUACGGUGUGACGCCUGCCCGGUGCCGGAAGGUUAAUUGAUGGGGUCAGCGCAAGCGAAGCUCUUGAUCGAAGCCCCGGUAAACGGCGGCCGUAACUAUAACGGUCCUAAGGUAGCGAAAUUCCUUGUCGGGUAAGUUCCGACCUGCACGAAUGGCGUAAUGAUGGCCAGGCUGUCUCCACCCGAGACUCAGUGAAAUUGAACUCGCUGUGAAGAUGCAGUGUACCCGCGGCAAGACGGAAAGACCCCGUGAACCUUUACUAUAGCUUGACACUGAACAUUGAGCCUUGAUGUGUAGGAUAGGUGGGAGGCUUUGAAGUGUGGACGCCAGUCUGCAUGGAGCCGGCCUUGAAAUACCACCCUUUAAUGUUUGAUGUUCUAACGUUGACCCGU
rnacentral:rRNA from 1 species